rnacentral:rRNA from 2 species
UGGGGAAUAUUGCGCAAUGGGGGCAACCCUGACGCAGCCAUGCCGCGUGAAUGAAGAAGGCCUUCGGGUUGUAAAGUUCUUUCGGUGACGAGGAAGGCGUGAUGUUUAAUAGGCAUCACGAUUGACGUUAAUCACAGAAGAAGCACCGGCUAACUCCGUGCCAGCAGCCGCGGUAAUACGGAGGGUGCGAGCGUUAAUCGGAAUAACUGGGCGUAAAGGGCACGCAGGCGGCUAUUUAAGUGAGGUGUGAAAUCCCCGGGCUUAACCUGGGAAUUGCAUUUCAGACUGGGUAGCUAGAGUACUUUAGGGAGGGGUAGAAUUCCACGUGUAGCGGUGAAAUGCGUAGAGAUGUGGAGGAAUACCGAAGGCGAAGGCAGCCCCUUGGGAAUGUACUGACGCUCAUGUGCGAAAGCGUGGGGAGCAAACA